AGUGAGCGCUGGCGGUAGGCCUAACACAUGCAAGUCGAACGGCAGCACAGUAAGAGCUUGCUCUUACGGGUGGCGAGUGGCGGACGGGUGAGGAAUACAUCGGAAUCUACUUUUUCGUGGGGGAUAACGUAGGGAGACUUACGCUAAUACCGCAUACGACCUACGGGUGAAAGCAGGGGAUCUUCGGACCUUGCGCGAUUGAAUGAGCCGAUGUCGGAUUAGCUAGUUGGCGGGGUAAAGGCCCACCAAGGCGACGAUCCGUAGCUGGUCUGAGAGGAUGAUCAGCCACACUGGAACUGAGACACGGUCCAGACUCCUACGGGAGGCAGCAGUGGGGAAUAUUGGACAAUGGGCGCAAGCCUGAUCCAGCCAUACCGCGUGGGUGAAGAAGGCCUUCGGGUUGUAAAGCCCUUUUGUUGGGAAAGAAAAGCAGCAGGUUAAUACCCCGCUGUUCUGACGGUACCCAAAGAAUAAGCACCGGCUAACUUCGUG
rnacentral:rRNA from 1 species